rnacentral:lncRNA from 1 species
UCCGGUCCCGGAGUUGAAUAGUUUUUGAAGUAAUGAGACGGGAACGAGACUUGGGACGAACUGGAGAAAAACAUAACCGCGAAAGGAGGAGGCGGCUAUCACUUACUGGCUGUGUCAGAAGUCGCCGGGAACGCGUUGCUCCCGAGGCCGAAGGGCCCAGAGAGCUCCAGCCAGGCAGCGGGUUCGUCUCCGGCGCAAGAAGGCUGGCUGUCUUUAGUCAAGUCAAGCUCAUUCUGAAGCCUUUCCUGGGAGUCCUGAAGACUAGCAAUAAGUCCUUCUGCAGAGCCAAGACCUUGUUCACUUUUCCUUACCAUAUCUUGGAGGUGGCCAAUCUUGUGACGACACAUCAAGAAGGUGACCACCUGCAAGCCAGGAACAGAGCGCUCACUGUGGAACUGAAUUGGCUGCUACCUUGAUCUUGGACUUCCCAGCUCCCAGACUGUAAGAAAUAAAUUUUUAUUGUUUGAGCCA